rnacentral:tRNA from 1 species
AUUAGUUCAGUGUGUUAGAACAUGGUGCUAAUAACACUGAGGUUGUGGGUUUGAUCCCCAUAU